ensembl:lncRNA
CCCCCCCUCCGCGGUUCAAGUUUCUGCGGCCGGAGGACGCGGCCUCCGCCAAUCCCAGGGCUACAGGGCGCUUUUAAAAUGCAGUCACUGUGUCCGGGGAGUUACGGCUGCCCUCAUCUCCAGCCUGUGUUCUCCAUUCCACCGAAAAGACAGCGUGAAGAGCUUGCCUCCUAGACCCGCCCUUACCUGUCACACCUCCACGCCUUGGGCCACAGUGUUCCCUGUGCCUCGGAUUCCCUGUCCCUCUUCCUCACCUGGCUGACUCCCACACUGCCUGGACACAGGUUGGUAAAGUCCUUCUCCACGCCAGCUCCCAACCCAUCAGGCUCCCACAAGGCCCUUGGGUUCCCCGUUCAUGCCCCCCGCUACCCCAUGCCCAGCGCUGUGGCCCUGUCUCCUGGCCCCUCACUUACACCCUGGGAUCUCAGGGUUCUCGGAGCCCAGGCAGGACCAGACCCCUGCAGAGGCAGUUCUGUGCUGCUGAAAGGGCCCGGGCUCAGGGCCAGCUGGGUUUAGACCAAUGGUUGAACCUCUCUGAGCCUCACUUUCCUCGCUUCUCCAAUAAGGAUGCUCUCCAGGUCAAGGGUUAGUGACGAUCACAGACCCCCAUGUGCAAAAUGCUGGGCUGGGGCGGGCUCUCUGUGCUCACCGGGCAAAUGAAUGAGCCAGGAGCCACGAUCCCUGUCCUCAAGUUCAGUAGAGAAGGGGACAGAGUCUUGCG